GCUGGGCGUGGUGGCGGGUGCCUGUAGUCCCAGCUACUCAGGAGGCUGAGGCAGGAGAAUUGCUUGAACCCAGGAGGUGUCGGUUGCAAUGAGCCAAGAUCAUGCCACUGCAUUCCAGCCUGGGUGACAGAGCGAGACUCUGUCUCAA
ensembl:misc_RNA Metazoa_SRP Metazoan signal recognition particle RNA